UUUAUCCUACCUGUAAAUAGACACGUAGCACACAGUUUCAGGCUUGAUUUCUUUCGGACCCUAAUAUCUUCUACAUCUUUCACUCCACUAUUUCUCCCUCUUCCACUUCUUCAUCUCUACCUCUUUCUCUGCUGAUUUUGUAUAUCUCUAUCUGAAUUCUCAAUGAUAUAUAAAUCGGGAGGAAUUGCAGACGGAAAUUGUUCAGGGAUGAAAAAGAGGUUAAGAGACGCAGGAGAAGAUUAUCUACUUGUGCCUUUGAUAUUCUCACGCUGAAUUGGAGAAUAUCAGGUAGUUGAUAGACAGCUGCCACAUUGAAGUAGUGAAUGUAUCAGUUGUCCAGUCGAGAAACAAGAGGUGUUUUCUAAGUGACGAUGUCAACGACAUGAGAAAAUAAGAGAAUGUGAUGAGCUCAAAUUGUGCUCCAGAUGCCUCUUUAGCAAUACAUUGUUCCUACCAGUUUACACUGACUGUUAGCAAAAGUUGUGUUCUGCAAUUUGGUGAAGAAAAUUGUCAUAUGGAUGAAACUUUGUUGGAAUACCAAGCGCACGCCGUGGCAAGGCAGAUACCUUCUCUGUGGUGAGUUUUAUGGUCCCUUCUUCUGA